rnacentral:rRNA from 1 species
CCUACGGGCGGCUGCAGUCGAGAAUUUUUCACAAUGGGCGAAAGCCUGAUGGAGCGACACCGCGUGAGGGAUGAAGGGCUUAGGCUCGUAAACCUCUGUCAUUUGUGAACAAGUUGAGUUUAUUCUCAAUUGAUAGUAGCAGAAGAGGAAGAGACGGCUAACUCUGUGCCAGCAGCCGCGGUAAUACAGAGGUCUCAAGCGUUGUUCGGAUUUACUGGGCGUAAAGGGUGCGCAGGCGGAAUUUGCGGUUAUCUGUUUAAUCUAAAGGCUCAACCUUGUAGUUGCAGAUAAUACCCUUGUUCUAGAAAUGUGUAUGUGAAAUUGGAAUUUUCGGUGUAGCAGUGAAAUGCGUAGAUAUCGAAAAGAACAUCAGUGGCGAAAGCGAAUUUCAAAACACUAUUUGACGCUAAAGCACGAAGGCUAAGGGAGCAAACGGGAUUAGAUACCCCAGUAGUC